rnacentral:rRNA from 1 species
UACGUAGGUGGCAAGCGUUGUCCGGAUUUACUGGGCGUAAAGAGCGCGCAGGCGGUCGUUCAAGUCGCGUGUGAAAGCCCCCGGCUCAACUGGGGAGGGUCACGCGAUACUGAUCGACUCGAAGGCAGGAGAGGGUAGUGGAAUUCCCGGUGUAGCGGUGAAAUGCGCAGAUAUCGGGAAGAACACCCGUGGCUAAGGCGGCUCUCUAGUACGGUACUGACGCUGAGACGCGAAAGCGUGGGGAGCGAACAGG